CUGCAGGGCCAGAGCCGGCAGCGCCGCCUCGGGCCCGGCCGCCGCCAUCGUGCGUCUCACCCCCGCUCCGCCCCCUGCCCCGAGCGGCGCCGGGACAUGCCACUGACACUGGGAGGAGUGUGAAUACCUGUGCCUAACCCUUCUAGCAGCAAUGGAGGUGAAGGUUCCCCAUCCAGAGCAUGGGACUCACAGGGGAUUUAGUUGCAAUUUUCCCAGCUUGAAAGAAAGGCCUGAAGCUGAAGGGGCUAUAUACAAGUACUCCAAACCGUAGGGAGGCCCAGACUCUCAUCUAAAUAAAAUAAAAGCUCUGUUCCAGCAUGUGCACUAUC